UACAGUAAAAUGAUAUUUAUUAAAAAAAAAAAAUGUUUGAUACGUUGCAAAUAUUAUGGAAAUAAAAUAAUAUGGAGAAUGCAGGAUAGAAGGUAUGUUGAGUACUGGCUUUCAAUGGUUUUCAAUGAAUCACAAGUAUUCGUGUGGAGAAACUUAACCAUCUGUGAUAUUGUCUACCAACAAUGACACUGCAUGACUUCUUCUAUUAGCCUUCUACGUUACACAAGUGGCACUUAAAACAUGCAGUCUGUUUUCCAGUUACUCUCGUGUUCAAGUUUUGUCUUUUGUCGAAAUACGCGACAUGAACAAAUAUACCAAUAGAUUACUGAAAUGGGCCACUUCAUGCGCAACAACCAAAUAAUAUCAUUUACCCAAUUAUCCAGCUAAUAAUCAGAAUAAACACCUUUCAAAGACCUUUCUCUGCAAAUCUCGAUGGCAUUGUCGGCCAAGGUUAAAAGAAGAGGGUUAAAAGAAGAUGAUAUAAGAUAGUGGUUACGGGCACGAUUACUUGGAAGAUGAUAGGAUAGAAAGAUGCACCAGUGUUUAUACUAUUGAUUGUAAUUAUUAAAAGGAAAGUACAAAGAUUAAGAUGCAUUAUAAAAGAGAGAAAAAAUUUUCUUUUUAAUAAAUUAUGGUUGUAAUACGCUUUAUAUAUCAAAUUUUCAUUUUAUAAUUUUAAAUGACUUAAAUGAAGUUAAUAAUAUGAAUAUAUGUAAUGUACUUACAUAAUAAUAUCUAUGUUGUUCUUUCCAGAUAGAGCAGUGUUUAAAAAUCGUAAUUAUUAAAAGGAAAGUACAGGGGUUAAGAUGCAUGGAAGAGAGAAAAAAGUUUCUUUUUAACAAAUUAUGGUUGUAAUACGCUUUAUAUAUCAAAUUUCCAUUUUAUAAUUUUAAAUGAUUUAAAUGAAGUUAAUAAUAUGAAUAUAUGUAAUGUACUUACAUAGUAAUAUCUAUGUUGUUCUUUUCAGAUGCAGCAGUGCUUACAUACGCCAUUGAUUGUAAAAAUCAUAAUUAUUAAAAGAAAAGGGAUUAAGAUGUAUUAUGGAAGAGAGGAAAAAUGUUCAUUUUAUCAAAUUAUCAUUAUGCAGCAGUGCUUACAUAUGCCAUUGAUUAUAAAAAUCAUAAUUAUUAAAAGAAAAGAUAUAUUAUAGAAGAGAGGAAAAAUUUUUAUUUUAACAAAUUAUCAUUAUGCAAAAGUGUUUAUAUAUGUCAUUGAUAAUCAAUUAAAUUAUUAAAAGGAAAGUACAGGGGUUAAGAUGCAUUAUGGAAGAGAGGAAAAAUUUUCAUUUUAACAAAUUAUCAUUGUAAUACAAUUUAUAAUAAAUUUCCAUUUCAUAAUUUUAAGUGACUUAAAUGAAGUUAAUGAAAUAGAUAUAUGUAAUGUACUUACAUAGUAAUAUCUAUGUUGAUGUAUAUAGAAAAUCCUUUCUUUUAUUAUGUUUGAUAUUUUCGUCGAGUUCAUUUCCAGGUUGCUCAAGAGGAACAAAAGGGAAAAUGAUAUCAAAGUGACACUAGGGAGCAGUAAGGGUGUGUCUUUAUCUUCGUUAUUACCAGUAGUAGUGGGUCCUUACCGAUUAUCCUGAAUUAAAGUGACUUCAUUAAGGAAGAUACAGAUACCACUUGUAACAACAUUAGAAAACUCGAAGGAGAUUUAUUUUUAUUUGAAAAGAAGGAAAACAAAAACACUUAAUUCUUUAACGUAUUUUUAAUUUUUUUUUUUCGUACUAAUUGCUUUUCAGGUGCAUCUCGUUGAAACGCCAAUUACCACCUAUAAAGGGCCGUGUAUCGAGACAAUGAAUUUGAAUAAUCGAUCCACCUCGAGCAAGGCGAUUAACUAUCGACAGAGAUCGUCACACUCGGCAUCCUUUUCUUCUCCAGAAACCUCCUUCCUCCAGAAGAUUCUCUCAAGGAGGAUACGUUCCGAUCCGACGUUUCAUUAGUUCCUUAAUGCAUCCUGCGGGUCGUUGCUGCUCUCAAGGAAAGGAUCAACACUUUUUUGCUUCGGAACGAUGCGUCAGGGAUGCACGGCUCUUAUGUGCCAGAGUGACUGAUGAACCAUCGACUAAUUACCUCCUCUAUGUGCCCUGUAAUACGAACGUAUUAAUAACCUGCAUUUAUAUAUAUCCGUGAAAAAUGACCGCUUAUCUCGCUUCACGGGCACAAAAGGAUCGUUGGUCCGUUGUGUUUAGAAAACGAGUUGAGGAGAAUGCGAUAGGAGAGGAGGAAUUAUAUCUAUAUACCGAGUUUCGUUCGUUGGAACGAAAUUUUUGUCAAUGCCCCGAUUCAUCCGUUAUCUCCUACACUGAUAUUCAAAUUUUAUUUUUGUUCCAUCAAGUUGCGUCAUUGUUGAGUUUAUAACGGCGAUUUAAUUAUAUAUCUUGUUGUUCACAAACAAUUUGGAAAUUUUCGUCCGUUGUCCGAUUGAUUAAUUUAUUGCUAUGAUACAUCAAAUUUUAUUUUUGUGUUUUAUCGGGUUACGCGUGUAUUUAUAUCUCGGUUGUCAGUGGAAUUUCUUACCGAUACGAAUUUUAGAAGUAAGAAAAUUUUAUUUGGAAAUACUUUACUCGAGAUUAAUUACAGAUAGAAUUAUGUGGAGGGAAAAUGUUUGUACGAAUAAUUGUACGAUCAAGUGAAUUUUUAUUACUUGUGUUGGAGAAGGAUAAUGAUGGAAAGAUAGGAAAUCGAACUUUUUAUAUCUUUUCCUAUAUAUAUAUAUAUAUAUAUUUGUUUAUUCGAUCUAGAAAAAGUAGUUGGUAGAUUCGAAAAAAGACGUUUCGAAAAGAUCAAAGCUUGAGCGGUACUCGAGCGCGUUCUACUUCGGCUUUGACUAAAUAAAAAGCGAGCUUUGCAUUUUUUACAGGCGACUGCGCUUAGAAAGCGACGAGAGACGGAAAGUUGAACGACCACCACCUUGGUCUUAACCGUAAUCCCGAAGAGUGACGAGCGUCAAAGCAACGCGGGGAUUCUUCAACUAUAUUACUAUCCUCUCUGUGUCGCCUUCGUUCCUUCGUUUAUCAACUUUCUCUCUCCAUCAUUCCUCCAUGUAAGAAACGAAAAAUGAAAGAAACGUGUCGAACUUACGACUAAUUUAAUCUUGAAAGACGAAUACGAAUUUCGAGUUGAGGAAAAUCGAGGAAGGAAAGAUCGAGGGAGGGAGAGA